GACGAAGGGGGCUAGCGUUGUUCGGAAUUACUGGGCGUAAAGCGCGUGUAGGCGGUUGUCCAAGUCGGGUGUGAAAGCCUUGAGCUCAACUCAAGAAAUGCACUCGAUACUGGGCGACUAGAGUGCCGGAGAGGAUAGUGGAAUUCCCAGUGUAGUGGUGAAAUACGUAGAGAUUGGGAAGAACACCAGUGGCGAAGGCGGCUAUCUGGACGGUUUCUGACGCUAAGACGCGAAAGCGUGGGGAGCAAACAGG
rnacentral:rRNA from 1 species